UAGGAGCUAUGGACACUUUUGCCAGAGGCUUGAAAUUGGCAGCCAGAAUACAAGAGGAUAACAUUUUAAGUCAAGCUGUUGAAGAACGUUACAGUAGUUAUAAAUCAGGUAUUGGAGCACAAAUUGAA
rnacentral:sRNA from 1 species